rnacentral:rRNA from 1 species
GACGAACGCUGGCGGCGUGCUUAACACAUGGAAGUCGAACGGAAAGGCCCUGCUCUUGUGGGGUGCUCGAGUGGCGAACGGGUGAGUAACACGUGAGUAACCUGCCCUUGACUUUGGGAUAACUUCAGGAAACUGGGGCUAAUACCGGAUAGGAGCUCCUGCAGCAUGGUGGGGGUUGGAAAGUUUCGGCGGUUGGGGCUGGACUCGCGGCUUAUCAGCUUGUUGGUGGGGUAGUGGCUUACCAAGGCUUUGACGGGUAGCCGGCCUGAGAGGGUGACCGGCCUCAUUGGGACUGAGAUACGGCCCAGACUCCUACGGGAGGCAGCAGUGGGGAGUAUUGCACAAUGGGCGGAAGCCUGAUGCAGCAACGCCGCGUGCGGGAUGACGGCCUUCGGGUUGUAAACCGCUUUCGCAUGUGACGAAGCGUGAGUGACGGUAAUGGGUAAAGAAGCACCGGCUAACUACGUG